UCAUGGGGUGAGGGGAGGGGGGAGGGAUAGCAUUAGGAGAUAUACCUAAUGUAAAUGACGAGUUAAUGGGUGCAGCACACCAACAUGGCACAUGUAUACAUAUGUAACAAACCUGCACGUUGUGCACAUGUACCCGAGAACUUAAAGUAAAAUAAUUAAAAAAAAAAAAAAAGAUGAGGCUCAGGCAACACAUGUCCCUUAAAUCCAGUCUAUGAGGGCACCACAAAGUCCUUAUUCUUUGCAAAUUCUAGCAGAGAGGUUGUACUAGUUUUGGAGAGAGGCCUCAAAAGCAAGAUCCUGUUUCUUGACACAGCUUACCCUGGUGAAGCUCCCUGGCCAAGCACAAACUCCCAGGUCAAGCACAAACAGCCUUCACCAAUGGCACCAUCAGCCCUCAAAGAGGAGGUGGCACUAACACUGUAAGUGGGCAGCUGCUAUGGUCUUCUGCUGCCUGGAGAGUUUUGCCUCCAUCACUGCUGACCACCUGGGGAAUUCCCAGGAACUACUCUUCAAAGGUACACUCGGAUGCCCCCUCUGCAAAGACAUUUUGUUCCCUUACUGUACCUCUGAAAUCAUUUGUUAUCCAAGCAUUUGCAAAUCCACCUGUCUUCUGUGUGUGGCUUUCUGUGUGGCAUAUCUAUGGACAUUGAGGGUGAAAAACAAGAGGAAGACUCUGUUCCUUUUCUUAGGGAGCUCACAGUUCACUGGAUAAGACAGAAGGAAGCCAUUGACUCUGAAAGGGAACAGGAUGUGGCAAAGAUGGGGCAGAGGGGUGAGCACAGAGGGGAUCAAGAGAAGGGGGAGAAAGACCAUUGUCAUCAGUGCAGCCUUUCUGGGGAGCAAUGUGUGAGCUGAGCUUUGAAAAAGAAAUGAGGUUUUAAAAGAGUGUGGGAGGAGAGCCCUCCUGAGAUGUAUGGAGAGACCAGUGCCCCUCGUCCCUGCCACUCCCGCUCCUGCAGCUGUUCCCUUCUUCCCUCUGUCCCAGCUCAGCACAGUCACAACUCUCCAAAUCAUGACACUCAAAAUGCCACAUCUAAAAAGAACAUCAUGGCUGGGUGCAGUGGCUCACACCUGUAAUCCCAGUACUUUAGGAGGCCAAAGUGGGUGAAUCACCUGAGGUCAGGAGUUUGAGACCAGCUUGACUAACAUGGUGAAACCCUGUCUCUACUAAAAAAAAAAAAAAAAGUUAGCCGGGCAUGGUGGUGCAUACCUGUAAUCCCAGCUACUUUGGAGGCUGAGGCAGGAGAAUCACUUGAACCUGGUGGGAGGAGGUUGCAGUGAGCCGAGAUCAUACCACUGCACUCCAGCCUGGGUGACAGAGCAAGGCUCCGUCAAAAAAAAAAAAAAAAUCCGAGUUCUGGGUGGGUGCCUCUGCUUCUUCUGACUUGACCGCCCCCUUCCCUGCUCUCUUUGUGUCUCAUGUAGUUGUUUCCACUCACUCAACCUCCAUACUCCCUGGACAGCACAUGAAAAAAAUUGCAACUCUGAAUCCCCAUCUGCUUGUGUGUGAUUCGUAUCCUCUGUGAGUCAACAAGGUGAAUAUAUUCCUCAUUUGGUUGCGGGAUUUUUUAAAACGUCUCAAACAGUCUCUGCCCCCUGAGAAAGUAAAUUCAUUCACCUACAAAGAGAAAGGAAAGGGACAGCCAUCCACCAAUUGACUCCUGAGAUUCCCUCUGCAUCCUUCAACACUUAUUGGGACUUACAUGAAACAAUAUGACAACUUUUUAUUUCUAUCAAACUACAGCUUUCUUCCUUGUAUCUGAAGAAGUUGGCACCCUCUACACAGAAUAGGAGAGCACAAUUUCAACAGUUAUUGCAUACAUCACUGACCAUUCUUACUACUCCUCAAAAUUCAUUGCAGGUCCACCAAAUGUUCUGUUUGUUGAAGAUUAAAUUAUAAAAUUAAAUUUCAGCAAUAUGCAUAUAUAAUUAAUGAACCCAGAGAAAAGAUCAAAAUGGUGAGCAUAUAAUAUAAAUGUGUACAUAUUAAUAUUAUACGCUCACCACUUUUAUUUUUCUCUCCAUUCAUUUGUUGUAUAUACAUGUUGUUGGAGUUUAAUCUUACAAUGUAGUCUUAAGGUAACAGAAUAUUUGGUGGACCUAUGAUGGAUUUUGAGGAGUGACUAAUAUGGUCAGUGAUGUAUACAAUAACUGUUGGAACUGUGCAUCUCCUUAUUCGGUGUAGAGGGUGCAAACUUCUUUACAUACAAGGAAGAAAGUUCUGUUUUGUUUGAUAGGAAUAAGAGUUGUCACACUGUUUCAUGAAAGUUCUAAUAAGUGUCGAAGGGUGCAGGUGGAAACUCAGUAGUCAAAUGGUGGAUGGCUGUCCUUUCCUUUCUCUUUGUAGGUGCAUGAAUUUACUUUCUCAGUGGCAGUGUGUAUUUUAGACGUUUUAAACAUUCCAUAACGAAAUAUGAGGAAUAUGUUCACCUUGUUGACUCAAAAAGUAUUUAGAUCAUAGACAAGCAGAUAUAGGAUUCAGAGAUACAAAUUUUUCAUCUUCUGUCAAAGGAGUGUGGAGGCUGGAAAGAAUUACAUCCAAAAGAGAAGGGAGGACGAGUCAGAAGAGGGCAGAGAAGGGAGGUCAAUUCAGAAGAAGCAGAGGCACCAACCCUGAUGUUCUUUUUAGAAGUGGCAUUUUGAGUGUCAUGAUUUGGAGAGUCGCUGUGGCUGUUCCAAGCAAGGAGAGAGGGGAGAAGGAAACAGCUACAGGAGGAGGAGCAGCAGGGAGGAGGGGCAUUGGCCAUUCCAUACUGCUCUGGAAGGCUCUUCUUAUUUAUUUAUUUAUUUAUUUAUUUAUUUAUUUAUUCAUGUUUUUUUGAGACAGGGUCUCACUCCGGUUGCCCAGGCUGGAGUGUACUGGUGCGAUCUCAGCUCACUGCAGCCUUGACCUUCCAGGCUCAGGUGAUUCUCCCACCUCAGCCUCCCAAGUGGCUGUAACCACACAUGCGUGCCACCAUGCUUGGCUAAUUUGUUGUAUUUUCAGUAAAGAUGGGGUUUCACCUUUUGCCACACUUAAAGUAUCAUUGGGUCUGUUGAGUCAGAAGGACAAGUCAUAGAGCAUCUUGAGACCACCUUGUUGCCCAGGCUGGUCUCAAGCCCCUGGAUUCAAGCUGUCCACUUGCCUUGGCCUCCCAAAGUGCUGAAACUACAGGAGUGAGCCACCACAUCCAGCUUCCUUAUUUCUUCUCCAAAGCUCAACUCACACAUUGCUCCCCAGAAAGGUUGCACUGAUGACAAUGGUUUGUCUCCCCUUUCUCUUGAUCCUGUCUGUGCUCACUCCUCUGCCCCAUCUUUGCCACACUCUGUUUCCUUUCAGAGUCGGUGGCUUCCUUCUGUCUCAUCCAGUGAACUGAGAGCUCCUUAAGGAACAGAGUCUUACUCUUGUGUUUCACCUUCAAUGUCUAUAGUUAUGCCACAUAGAAAGCCACACACAGAAGACAGAUAGAUUUGCAAGUUCUGGGAUAACAAACUGUUACGAGGUAAAAAGUCUUGACUCUGAGUUGUCCAGGCUCAUGGGGCAUUGAACAAAGAAUGAACAAAACACUCAGCCAAAGCAACAAAAGAGCAAAGCAAUGAAAGAAGCAACAAAAGCACAGAUUUGUUGUGCACAAACAAAGCAAAAAAAGAAUGAAGCAAUGAAAGCACAGAUUUAUUGAAGCAAAGUACACUCCACAGAGUGGAAGCCAACUUAUGUAAAGGGCUCAAGAGCGCUGAUUACAAUGUUCUUUAGGGUUUUAAGCUAUUAAUAAUUUAGCAACACCCCUAGGUGCCCUUUAGAGGCCUCCAAUUGGUUACACCCUAUGAAGGAC
rnacentral:lncRNA from 1 species